AAGAUACUCCCUCCGUCCAAAAAUAUUUGCCAUCAAAAUGGAUAAAAAAAGAUGUAUCUAGAACUAAUAUACAUCUAGAUACAUCCCCUUUUAUUCAUUUUGAUGACAAGUAUUUCCGGACGGAGGGAGUACAAU
rnacentral:pre_miRNA from 1 species